UACGGAGGAUGCGAGCGUUAUCCGGAUUUAUAGGGUUUAAAGGGUGCGCAGGCGGCACGGCAAGCCGGCGGUCAAAUCGCGGGGCUCAACCCCGCCCAGCCGUCGGAACUGCCGGGCUAGAGUGGGCGAGAAGUGCGCGGAAUGCGUGGUGUAGCGGUGAAAUGCAUAGAUAUCACGCAGAACUCCGAUUGCGAAGGCAGCGCACCGGCGCCCUACUGACGCUCAGGCACGAAAGCGUGGGUAUCGAACAGG
rnacentral:rRNA from 1 species